UGUGAAGUCAUUGAUGCCAUGCUUCCAGGAAAAGCCUCUAAGCUUCAGAUUGUAAGGAAUCGUACCCCAAACCGACACAGGUGGUCGGGUAGAGAAUACCAAGGCGCUUGAGAGAACUCGGGUGCGAGAGUCGCAGAUACCAGGUGGCUGCAACUGUUUAUUAAAAACACAGCACUGUGCAAAAUCGUAAGAUGACGUAUACGGUGUGACGCCUGCCCGGUGCCGGAAGGUUAAUUGAUGGGGUUAGACUUCGGUCGAAGCUCUUGAUCGAAGCCCCGGUAAACGGCGGCCGUAAC
rnacentral:rRNA from 1 species